GUCGAGCGGUAACAUUUCUAGCUUGCUAGAAGAUGACGAGCGGCGGACGGGUGAGUAAUGCUUGGGAAUAUGCCUUAUGGUGGGGGACAACAGUUGGAAACGACUGCUAAUACCGCAUAAUGUCUACGGACCAAAGGGGGGGAUCUUCGGACCUCUCGCCAUUUGAUUAGCCCAAGUGAGAUUAGCUAGUUGGUGAGGUAAUCGCUCACCAAGGCGACGAUCUCUAGCUGGUUUGAGAGGAUGAUCAGCCACACUGGGACUGAGACACGGCCCAGACUCCUACGGGAGGCAGCAGUGGGGAAUAUUGCACAAUGGGCGCAAGCCUGAUGCAGCCAUGCCGCGUGUGUGAAGAAGGCCUUCGGGUUGUAAAGCACUUUCAGUAAGGAGGAAAGGGAUGUAGUUAAUAACUGCAUUCUGUGACGUUACUUACAGAAGAAGCACCGGCUAACUUCGUGCCAGCAGCCGCGGUAAUACGAGGGGUGCAAGCGUUAAUCGGAAUUACUGGGCGUAAAGCGUUCGUAGGCGGUUGAUUAAGCAAGAUGUGAAAGCCCAGGGCUCAACCUUGGAACUGCAUUUUGAACUGGUCAACUAGAGUACUGUAGAGGGUGGUGGAAUUUCCA
rnacentral:rRNA from 1 species